UACAGAGGUCGCAAGCGUUGUUCGGAUUCAUUGGGCGUAAAGGGUGCGUAGGCGGCGCCGUAAGUCAGGUGUGAAAUUUCGGGGCUUAACUCCGAAACUGCAUUUGAUACUGCGGUGCUUGAGGACUGGAGAGGAGACUGGAAUUCACGGUGUAGCAGUGAAAUGCGUAGAUAUCGUGAGGAAGACCAGUGGCGAAGGCGGGUCUCUGGACAGUUCCUGACACUGAGGCACGAAGGCUAGGGGAGCAAACGGG
rnacentral:rRNA from 1 species